rnacentral:rRNA from 1 species
CCAAUAGCGUAUAUUAAAGUUGUUGCAGUUAAAAAGCUCGUAGUUGAAUUUCGGGAUCAAUUUGUUGGUCGUGCCUCGGUACGUACUGGCAUUAUUGGUUUCUACCUUCUGAAGAACCUUGAUGUCAUUAAUUUGGUGACUUGGGGAAUCAGGACUGUUACUUUGAAAAAAUUAGAGUGUUUAAAGCAGGAAUACGCUUGAAUACAUUAGAAUGGAAUAAUGAAAUAGGACGUUUGAUUCUAUUUUGUUGGUGUCUAGGAUCGACGUAAUGAUUAAUAGGGAUAGUUGGGGGCAUUAGUAGUCAAUUGUCAGAGGUGAAAUUCUUGGAUUUAUUGAAGACUAACUACUGCGAAAGCAUUUGCCAAGGAUGUUUUCAUUAAUCAAGAACGAAAGUUAGGGGAUCGAAGACGAUCAGAUACCGUCGUAGUCUUAACCAUAAACUAUGCCGACUAGGGAUCGGAUGAUGUUAUUUUUAAUGACUCAUUCGGCGCCUUACG